rnacentral:rRNA from 1 species
CCUACGGGUGGCAGCAGUGAGGAAUAUUGCACAAUGGGCGCGAGCCUGAACCAGCGAAGCAGCGUGAAGGAUGACUGCCCUACGGGUUGUAAACUUCUUUUAUAAAGGACUAAAGUGAGGCACGUGUGCCAUUUUGUAUGUACUUUAUGCAUAAGGAACGGCUAACUCAGUGCCAGCAGCCGCGGUAUUACGGAGGGUACGAGCGUUAUCCGGAUUUAAUGGGUUUAAAGGGAGCGUAGAUGGGUUGUUAAGUCAGUUGUGAAAGUUUGCGGCUCAACCGUGAAAUUGCAAUUGAUACUGGCAGUCUUGAGUACAGUUGAGGUAGGCGGAAUUCGUGGUGUAGCGGUGAAAUGCUUAGAUAUCACGAAGAACUCCGAUUGCGAAGGCAGCUUACUAAACUGCCACUGACAUUGAUGCUCGAAAGUGUGGGUAUCAAACAGGAUUAGAUACCCUGGUAGUC